AAAGAGUGUAGUUUUGCACCGUUAAUCUUGAACGUUCGACCGUCUGUCUUAUUUGAAAAAAUUUUAUGAUUAGUAUUUUUAUUGUUGUUAGAUGAUAAAAUACAAAUAGUAUUUGAUGUGUGACUAAUUAUUUUUAAUUUUUUUAAUAAAAUUUUCAAAUAAGCCAGACGAUCAAACAUUGAACGCGGAAACUUAGCAAUACACUUAUA
rfam:Oryza rufipogon genomic scaffold, chr03